GUCAAGUCAUCAUGGCCUUUAUGUCCAGGGCUGCACACGUGCUACAAUGGCGCGGACAGAGGGACGCCAGUUCGCAAGAACAAGCCAAUCCCAAAAACCGCGCCCCAGUUCGGAUUGCGGGCUGCAACUCGCCCGCAUGAAGCCGGAAUCGCUAGUAAUCGCCGGUCAGCAAUACGGCGGUGAAUGUGUUCCUGAGCCUU
rnacentral:rRNA from 1 species